rnacentral:rRNA from 1 species
GAUGAACGCUGGCGGCAUGCCUAAUACAUGCAAGUCGAACGAGAGGAAGGAAAGCUUGCUUUUCUGAAUCUAGUGGCGAACGGGUGAGUAACACGUAGGUAACCUGCCCAUGUGCCCGGGAUAACUUCUGGAAACGGAUGCUAAAACCGGAUAGGUAGCAGACAAGCAUUUGACUGCUAUUAAAGUGGCAAAGGCCAUGAACAUGGAUGGACCUGCGGUGCAUUAGCUAGUUGGUGAGGUAACGGCCCACCAAGGCGACGAUGCAUAGCCGGCCUGAGAGGGCGGACGGCCACAUUGGGACUGAGACACGGCCCAAACUCCUACGGGAGGCAGCAGUAGGGAAUUUUCGUCAAUGGGGGGAACCCUGAACGAGCAAUGCCGCGUGAGUGAGGAAGGUCUUCGGAUCGUAAAGCUCUGUUGUAAGAGAAAAACGACAUUCAUAGGGAAUGAUGAGUGAGCGAUGGUAUCUUACCAGAAAGUCACGGCUAACUACGUGCCAGCCGCCGCCGUAAAAC